ACGACCUUACUUGAACAGGAUCAGUUCUAUAGGCUCGUACCUCUGUAUCCUAGAUUUCUAAGGAGACAGGCCCUCAAAACCUGGUUGAUGAAUCAUAGCCGUGCGACUUGAGUGUGAUUGACGGCUACGAUUCUCCUCGGAGUCUCCGCGCUGUAGAGGAUCGCUACCUGGUCUGGUCUUGACCUAGCCAGGGUGGUCGCACGGUUGUCUGACAGGUU
rfam:Eutrema salsugineum unplaced genomic scaffold scaffold_5, whole genome shotgun sequence.